rnacentral:rRNA from 1 species
GAUGAACGCUGGCGGCGUGCCUAAUACAUGCAAGUCGAGCGAACAGACGAGGAGCUUGCUCCUCUGACGUUGGCGGCGGACGGGUGAGUAACACGUGGAUAACCUACCUAUAAGACUGGGAUAACUUCGGGAAACCGGAGCUAAUACCGGAUAAUAUAUUGAACCGCAUGGUUCAAUAGUGAAAGACGGUUUUGCUGUCACUUAUAGAUGGAUCCGCGCCGCAUUAGCUAGUUGGUAAGGUAACGGCUUACCAAGGCAACGAUGCGUAGCCGACCUGAGAGGGUGAUCGGCCACACUGGAACUGAGACACGGUCCAGACUCCUACGGGAGGCAGCAGUAGGGAAUCUUCCGCAAUGGGCGCAAGCCUGACGGAGCAACGCCGCGUGAGUGAUGAAGGUCUUCGGAUCGUAAAACUCUGUUAUUAGGGAAGAACAAAUGUGUAAGUAACUAUGCACGCCUUGACGGUACCUAAUCAGAAAGCCACGGCUAACUACGUG